UACGUAGGGUGCAAGCGUUAAUCGGAAUACUGGGCGUAAAGCGUGCGCAGGCGGUGAUGUAAGACAGAUGUGAAAUCCCCGGGCUCAACCUGGGAACUGCAUUUGUGACUGCAUCGCUGGAGUACGGCAGAGGGGGAUGGAAUUCCGCGUGUAGCAGUGAAAUGCGUAGAGAAUGUGGAGGAACACCGAUGGCGAAGGCAGCCCCCUGGGUUAACACUGGACGGCUCGAGGCACGAAAGCGUGGGGAGCAAACAGG
rnacentral:rRNA from 1 species